UACGGAGGAUUCAAGCGUUAUCCGGAUUUAUUGGGUUUAAAGGGUGCGUAGGCGGUCGGAUAAGUUAGAGGUGAAAUCCCGGGGCUCAACUUCGGAAUUGCCUCUGAUACUGUUCGGCUAGAGAGUAGUUGCGGUAGGCGGAAUGUAUGGUGUAGCGGUGAAAUGCUUAGAGAUCAUACAGGACACCGAUUGCGAAGGCAGCUUACCAAGCUACUUCUGACGUUGAAGCACGAAAGCGUGGGGAGCAAACAGG
rnacentral:rRNA from 1 species